rfam:Gossypium arboreum cultivar AKA8401 contig_38315_1, whole genome shotgun sequence.
AACACAUGGUAAGGGCACCUUCUCAAUAGGUCCAUGUAUCUCUCCCAUGCAUCAUAGAGUGUCACUAGAUCCAUCUGUACAAAAAAAGAGAUGUCAUUCCUCAACUU